rnacentral:sRNA from 1 species
GGAGCCAAAAAGACCUCACAUUAAGAAGCCUCUGAAUGCUUUUAUGUUAUACAUGAAAGAAAUGAGAGCGAAUGUCGUUGCUGAGUGUACUCUAAAAGAAAGUGCAGCUAUCAACCAGAUUCUCGGCAGAAGGUGGCAUGCCCUCUCCCGUGAAGAGCAGGCUAAAUAUUAUGAAUUAGCACGGAAAGAAAGACAGCUACAUAUGCAGCUUUAUCCAGGCUGGUCUGCAAGAGACAAUUAUGGUAAGAAAAAGAAGAGGAAGAGAGAGAAACUACAGGAAUCUACAUCAGCAUUUCAUUUGUUCCUUCUUGAGGUGGAAAACGAAGCUCAUUCCCAACGUGCAAAGCCAAGGCAGCGACCCCAGGACCUCUUCUGGAGAUGGAAGCUUGUUGAAAACCCAGACUGUCUCCACGGCCCGCCCAGUCGACCCCAAAGGAACACUGACAUCAAUUUUACCCUGAGGUCACUGCUAGAGAUGCUGAUCCAUAAAGACAAUCACUGCCAACCCCUCUUUUGUCUACUGCAAGAGCCAAGUUCCAAAAUAAAGCAUAAAAAGGUUUUUUAAAAGGAAAUGUAAAAGCACAUGAGAAUGCUAGCAGGCUGUGGGGCAGCUGAGCAGCUUUUCUCCCCUCAUAUCUGUGUGCACUUCCCAGAGCAUCUUGCAUCCAAACCUGUAACCUUUCGGCAAGGACAGUAACUUGGCUGCAUUUGCCUGUCAUGCGCAACUGGAGCCAGCAACCAGCACAUCCAUCAGCACCCCAGUGGAGGAGUUCGUGGAAGAGUUCCCUCUUUGUUUCUGUCUUCAUUUUUCUUUCUCUUCUUUUCUCCUAAAGCUUUUAUUUAACAGUGCAAAAGGAUCAGUUUUUUUUGUUUGCUUUUUUAAACUUGAAUUUUUUUAAUUUACACUUUUUAGUUUUAAUUUUCUUGUUGUAUAUUUUGCUAGCUAUGAGCUUUUAAAUAAAAUUCAAAGUUCUGGAAAAGUUUGAAAUAAUGAAAUAAAAAGAAGCCUUCUUUUUCUGAGACAGCUUGUCUGGUAAGUGGCUUCUCUGUGAAUUGCCUGUAACACAUAGUGGCUUCUCCGCCCUUGUAAGGUGUUCAAUAGAGCUAAAUAACGUAAUAGCCAAACCCACUCUGUUGGUAGCAAUUCGCAGCCCUAUUUCAGUUUAUUUUUUCUUCUGUUUUCUUCUUUUCUUUUUUUAAACAGUAAACCUUAACAGAUGCAUUCAGCAGACUGGUUUGCAGUGAAUUUUCAUUUCUUUCCUUAUUACCCCCUUGUUGUAAAAAGCCCAGCACUUGAAUUGUUAUUACUUUAAAUGUUCUGUAUUUGUAUCUGUUUUUAUUAGCCAAUUAGUGGGAUUUUAUGCCAGUUGUUAAAAUGAGCAUUGAUGUACCCAUUUUUUUAAAUAGCAAGGCACAGUCUUUGCCCAAAACUGUCAUCCUAACGUUUGUCAUUCCAGUUUGAGUUAAUGUGCUGAGCAUUUUUUUAAAAGAAGCUUUGU